AGUGAACGCUGGCGGCGUGCCUAAUACAUGCAAGUCGAACGAUGAAGUCCUAGCUUGCUAGGAUGGAUUAGUGGCGCACGGGUGAGUAAUAUAUAGUUAAUCUGCCCUACACAGAGGAACAACAGUUGGAAACGACUGCUAAUACCUCAUACUCCUAUUUGACAUAAGUUAAAUAGGGAAAGUCUUUUCGGUGUAGGAUGAGACUAUAUCGUAUCAGCUAGUUGGUAAGGUAAUGGCUUACCAAGGCUAUGACGCGUAACUGGUCUGAGAGGAUGAUCAGUCACAUUGGAACUGAGACACGGUCCAAACUCCUACGGGAGGCAGCAGUAAGGAAGAUUGCGCAAUGGGGGAAACCCUGACGCAGCAACGCCGCGUGGAGGAUGACACUUUUCGGAGCGUAAACUCCUUUUAUCAGGAAAGAAUAAUGACGGUACCUGAUGAAUAAGCACCGGCUAACUCCGUG
rnacentral:rRNA from 1 species